rnacentral:snRNA from 1 species
AUAUUUACCUGGCAGGGGAGAUAGCAUGGUCACUAAGGUGGUUUCCUAAGGGCGAGGCCUGUGCAUUGUACUCUGGAUGUGCUGACCCCUGUGAUUUCCCCAAAUGUGAGAAACAUGACUGCAGAAUUUGUGGUUGUGGGGGACUGUCUUUAUGCUUUCCCCUG